rnacentral:SRP_RNA from 1 species
GUUGGGAGUUGUGGCGUGCUCCUGUGAUCCAGCUACCUGGAGACCGGAGUCGGUGAACGGUGUGAGGGCAGGAGUCCUGCUUUCAGGUGUUCUAUGUUGAGCGGCGUCCGCACUAAGAUCGGUAUCAAUAUGGGCACACCGAGGGAGCUCAGUGUGACCAGGUUGUCUAAGGAGGGACGUACAGGCCAAGGGCGGAAACGCAGCAGGCAAAAGUCCCGUGUCGAUCAGUAGUGGGAUCGCGCCUGUGAAUCGGUAUCUGUCAGCAAUAAAAUAUAUUUGGACUCGGCUCUUU